rnacentral:rRNA from 1 species
CCUGAUGGCGACCGGCGCACGGGUGAGUAACGCGUAUCCAACUUCCCCCUGCUCAGGGAUAGACCCGGUGAAAACCGGAUUAAGACCUGAUAGUUUCACUAGAUGGCAUCUGACGGUGAAUAAAGGUUUCGGCAAGGGAUGGGGAUGCGUCUGAUUAGCUUGUUGGCGGGGUAACGGCCACCAAGGCGACGAUCAGUAGGGGUUCUGAGAGGAAGGUCCCCCACAUUGGAACUGAGACACGGUCCAAACUCCUACGGGAGGCAGCAGUGAGGAAUAUUGGUCAAUGGGCGGAAGCCUGAACCAGCCAAGUAGCGUGCCAGGAUGACGGCCCUAUGGGUUGUAAACUGCUUUUGUGCGGGAAUAAAGUCAGGGACGUGUCCCUGUUUGCAUGUACCGCAAGAAUAAGGACCGGCUAAUUCCGUGCCAGCAGCGGC